rnacentral:rRNA from 1 species
CUUUUUAAUUGAAAGCUGGAAUGAAAGAUGUGACGAGAAGAUAACUGUCUUGGUUUAUUAGAAAUAAAUUGACUAAGAGGUAAAAAGGCUUCUAUGAUUUUAAGGGACGAUAAGACCCUAUAAAGCUUUAUUUAUAACUGCUGGUUUAUUUAAAGGAAAAAACGAGUAUUUAUAAAUUUUGCUGGGGCGGCAAGUAAUUAAACUUUACUGAUUGUAACACCUUGGGUGUAUUUGAUUUAGCGUUGUUUCAAACAUAAAAAACAAGUUACUUUAGGGAUAACAGCACAAUUUUCUUAUAGAGUCCUUAUCGACAAGAAAGAUUGUGACCUCGAUGUUGAAUUGAGUUACUUUUGCUAAGCAACCAUAGCAAAUAGAAGUCUGUUCGACUUUUAAUUACUC